rnacentral:rRNA from 1 species
GACGAACGCUGGCGGCGUGCCUAACACAUGCAAGUGGAGCGACGAACCAGGCUUCGGCCUGGAGCAAAGCCGCGAACGGGUGAGUAACACGUGGGUAACCUGCCCUGAUGAUUGGGACAACCCGAGGAAACUCGGGCUAAUACCGAAUGUGCCCCCUGGUCCUCGAAGGCCUACGGGGAAAGGAGCUUCGGCCUCCGCAUCGGGAUGGGCCCGCGGCGCAUUAGCUUGUUGGUGAGGUAACGGCNCACCAAGGCGACGAUGCGUAGCUGGUCUGAGAGGACGAUCAGCCACACUGGGACUGAGACACGGCCCAGACUCC